AUUGAACGCUGGCGGCAUGCUUUACACAUGCAAGUCGAACGGUAACAGGGUGCUUGCACCGCUGACGAGUGGCGAACGGGUGAGUAAUGCGUCGGAACGUGCCGAGUAGUGGGGGAUAACGCAGCGAAAGUUGUGCUAAUACCGCAUACGUACUGAGGUAGAAAGUGGGGGACCUUCGGGCCUCACGCUAUUCGAGCGGCCGACGUCUGAUUAGCUAGUAGGUGAGGUAAAGGCUCACCUAGGCGACGAUCAGUAGCGGGUCUGAGAGGAUGAUCAGCCACACGGGGACUGAGAAACGGCACAGAAUGCUACGGGAGGCAGCAGUGGGGAAUUUUGGACAAUCGGCGAAAGCCUGAUCCAGCCAUGCCGCGUGUCUGAAGAAGGCCUUCGGGUUGUAAAGGACUUUUGUCAGGGAGGAAAUCCCUAGUGCUAAUAACACUGGGGGAUGACAGUACCUGAAGAAUAAGCACCGGCUAACUACGUGCCAGCCGCCGCCGUAA
rnacentral:rRNA from 1 species